CCUAUGUCAUAGAGAAUGAGUGCAUUUUCUGAAGCGUAAACACCUAUGACAAGCCUGCUUGCCUUCACUCAACCCCAAAACAUAGAACCUUUCAUUACAAGAUCUGAACCUGACAGACAAUCCAAGAAAUUACAAAAAUUUGGUACAUUCACAAAAACAGAUGAGUUUGUUUAUACAGGUUCUGAAGAUUUCUCAGUGGUCAUCCAUAGAAGACUACAUGCUCAGAAACACCCAGGCUGAGACAACAAGGGCCCACUUUGUUUUACUGGAGAGAACUGGAAGUGCUUUCUCAACACACCUUUUCAUCAUUCAGCUAGCACAGUGGAAGUAUGUAUGCAAACUUGAACUCUCAAGUCAUUAAAGGUGAAGAUAACAAAACUCAGGAUGGAAAAAGAGGAGGAUCAGGAAGGUUACUUUUAUUCCUUGACAAUAGAAAUUGGGGACUGUUUAGCUGGGGCAACCAUAGAACUGUGGAGGACAA
rnacentral:lncRNA from 1 species